AAUCUGCCCUUGGGUUCGGAAUAACAGUGAGAAAUUACUGCUAAUACCGGAUGAUGUCUUCCGACCAAAGAUUUAUCGCCCAGGGAUGACCCCGCACAGGAUUAGCUAGUUGGUGGGGUAAUGGCCUACCAAGGCGACGAUCCUUACCUGGUCUGAGAGGAUGAUCAGCCACACUGGGACUGAGACACGGCCCAGACUCCUACGGGAGGCACCAGUGGGGAAUAUUGGACAAUGGGCGCAAGCCUGAUCCAGCAAUGCCACGUGAGUGAUGAAGGCCUUAGGGUUGUAAAGCUCUUUUACCAGGGAUGAUAAUGACAGUACCUGGAGAAUAAGCUCCGGCUAACUCCGUGCCCAGCAGCCGCGGUAAUACGGAGGGAGCUAGCGUUGUUCGGAAUUACUGGCCGUAAAGCGCGCGUAGGCAGUUACUCAACUCAGAGGNGAAAGCCCGGGGCUCAACCCCGGAACUGCCUUUGAAACUNGGUGACNACAAUCUUGGACAGGUCAUUGGAAUUCCGAGUGUAGAGGUGAAAUUCGUA
rnacentral:rRNA from 1 species